GGCGCUAAUUCCAGGAUGAUAACGCCUUUUGGGCUAGUCAUGCUGCUCAUAAAUCUGGUAUACUUACCGUUACACAUUGAAAAAAUAGUCGCAAACGACGAAAACUACGCUUUAGCAGCUUAAUAACCUGCUUAGAGCCCUCUCUCCCUAGCCUCCGCUCUUAGGACGGGGAUCAAGAGGGGUCAAACCCAAAAGAGAUCGCGUGGAAGCCCUGCCUGGGGUUGAAGCGUUAAAACUUAAUCAGGCUAGUUUGUUAGUGGCGUGUCCGUCCGCAGCUGGCAAGCGAAUGUAAAGACUGACUAAGCAUGUAGUACCGAGGAUGUAGGAAUUUCGGACGCGGGUUCAACUCCCGCCAGCUCCACCA
rnacentral:tmRNA from 1 species